rnacentral:rRNA from 1 species
UACGUAGGGUGCGAGCGUUGUCCGGAAUUAUUGGGCGUAAAGGGCUCGUAGGCGGUCUGUCGCGUCGGGAGUGAAAACUCAGGGCUUAACCCUGAGCCUGCUAUCGAUACGGGCAGACUAGAGGUAUGCAGGGGAGAACGGAAUUCCUGGUGUAGCGGUGAAAUGCGCAGAUAUCAGGAGGAACACCGGUGGCGAAGGCGGUUCUCUGGGCAUUACCUGACGCUGAGGAGCGAAAGUGUGGGGAGCGAACAGG